UCCGAUUCUUGUGGUUGCAGAUAAUCAAUCCUCGCAGGAGUAGGGCGCUCGUUUGGCUUGUGCUGUGGGGUCCCUCAGAAAGCUGGUUCAUUAGUUUCUCCGGCAAAUAAUUAAUUUUCGAACUUCUCUAUCCGAGGAGAAGCGACUUCCUCUUUAUUGGCACCAAGGAAGUUGCGCACGGAGUGAAGUAAAAUCAGUCUCA
rnacentral:lncRNA from 1 species